rnacentral:pre_miRNA from 1 species
UUAAAUUGAGCACUCUCUCCUCUCUCUCUCUCUCUCUCUCUCUCUCUCUCUCUUAAGCGGUAGUGGUUUGUGUAAAGAAAGAGAGAGUGAAAUGAAACUAGCUUUGAAGCAUAUAAUGGAGAGAGAGAGAGAGAGAGGAGGUAUCAGGAGUGGAGGAGAUGCUGAGGGUG